rnacentral:rRNA from 1 species
UACGAAGGGGGCUAGCGUUGCUCGGAAUCACUGGGCGUAAAGCGCACGUAGGCGGAUUGUUAAGUCAGGGGUGAAAUCCUGGAGCUCAGCUCCAGAACUGCCUUUGAUACUGGCGAUCUUGAGUCCGGGAGAGGUGAGUGGAACUCCGAGUGUAGAGGUGAAAUUCGUAGAUAUUCGCAAGAACACCAGUGGCGAAGGCGGCUCACUGGCCCGGUACUGACGCUGAGGUGCGAAAGCGUGGGGAGCAAACAGG